AUUCUUUUAGUAUACCUUAGUAUAUUUGGCUUCCAACCAAAAGGCCUAGAACUCUAGAAAGAAUA
rnacentral:tRNA from 1 species